UACGUAGGGGGCAAGCGUUGUCCGGAUUUAUUGGGCGUAAAGGAGCUACGUAGGCGGCUUGGCAAGUCGGGUGUGAAAACUCCAGGCUCAACCUGGAGAUGCCACUCGAGACUGCUAUGGCUAGAGUCCGGUAGGGGACACGGAAUUCCUGGUGUAGCGGUGAAAUGCGCAGAUAUCAGGAGGAACACCGGUGGCGAAGGCGGUGGUC
rnacentral:rRNA from 1 species